rnacentral:tRNA from 1 species
GCCUUCGUGGUGUAACGGUUAGCACACUCGGCGCAUAUUCGAGAGGUCCAGGUUCGAUUCCUGGCAAGCACA